GACCAGGUCCAUUGAAGUAUUUUAACUAGGUUUAGGUGGAUUUCAUAGAGAAUCUUGGGUUUAAAAAAAAAAGGAAAAAGUCCACAAGUUAUGGACCGAUCCUUGUAGAAGGAUUAUAUGGAUCGAUCCAUAAACUAUUCACGAGUACACGUGGCGAUUCAACAUUGGUUGAGAGGAAAAAAAAAGUGGGAAGCAUUUUGGGGUCGUGCAGGAUUUCUCUCUCCCCGACAAAUCUCAUUCUCAA
rnacentral:lncRNA from 1 species